GGGGAUGUGGCUCAAGUGGUAGUGCACUCGCCUGGCAUGCGUGCAGCCUGGGUUCGAUUCUCAGCACUACAA
rnacentral:tRNA from 1 species